CCUACGGGAGGCAGCAGUAGGGAAUCUUGCACAAUGGGCGAAAGCCUGAUGCAGCCACGCCGCGUGUGUGAAGAAGGUCUUCGGAUCGUAAAACCCUGUUGUUAGAGAAGAAAGUGCGUGAGAGUAACUGUUCACGUUUCGACGUUAUCUAAACAAAAAGCCACGGCUAACUACGUGCCAGCAGCCGCGGUAAUACGUAGGUUGCAAGCGUUAUUCGGAUUUAUUGGGCGUAAAGGGAACGCAGGCGGUCUUUUAAGUCUGAUGUGAAAGCCUCGGGCUUAACCGGGGGAGUGCAUUUGAAACUGGCAGACGUGAGUGUAGAAGAGGAGAGUGGAAGGCCAGGUGUAGCGGUGAAAUGCGUAGAGAUAUGGAAGAACACCAGUGGCGAAGGCGGCCCUCUGGUC
rnacentral:rRNA from 1 species